rnacentral:rRNA from 1 species
UACAGAGGGUGCAAGCGUUGUCCGGAAUCACUGGGCGUAAAGGGCGCGUAGGCGGCCUGAUAAGUCGGGGGUGAAAUUCUGCGGCUUAACCGCAGGACGGCCUUCGAGACUGUCGGGCUUGAGCACGGUAGAGGCUGGUGGAAUUCCCGGUGUAGCGGUGGAAUGCGUAGAGAUCGGGAGGAACACCAAUGGCGAAGGCAGCUCGCUGGGACGGUAUUGACGCUGAGACGCGAAAGCGUGGGGAGCAAACAGG